rnacentral:lncRNA from 1 species
AAAGAAAAAAACCCUAAGGCAGCUAGCAAAAAGGGCAGUGUCUGUUGUCUCUUUGACAGUUAUUGUGAUGCAAGUGAAGUCAACUCUGCCUUUAUGAUGUACUCCUUGCUGCAGGUGAUUAAUUCCCUAGUUACCAACACCUGUUGUGAUUGCUCCAGUUUGUCUCCCAGUAACUGUGAGUUUGCCUUGGCAGGUGAUUCACUGACAGGUUUAUUAACCAAGAGUUCCAAGAUAGACUUCUGGGCUGGAAGAAUUUAUGCACCAAGAGUCCUUAGUUCUAGUUGUCCACACUCCCAACAAAUGCCAUUUCCUGUGGCAACAGAUGGGGUUUUGUUCUUGAUCAUCCAUAACAUCCUCAGUUCAGGCACAGUAUCAAGAAAUUCUCAACAAAAUCUCCUAGACUGUUGUGUUGGUCCAUUAUGCUGUGGUUUGUAAAUGCCAAGAAGAGAAAUGAUAGUAAGAAGACCAGCAUCAAAACAAAACUAAAUGUGUAUACCACAAAAGGGUUGGAAGCUUGUGGGAAAUACUGGAAAAAAAUUACACUGUAUACCAUGUUCAUCAGAGGAAAAGGAGUUUCCUCACUUAGACAUACCCUAACAGGACACUGAAUGAUAAAAGUAUUAAAUGCUAAUGUAACAUAACCCGAGCUGGACUGGGUGGGUGAGGAAUUUAUGGGAUUACAUAUCCAAAAAUCCCACAACCAAGUUGAAUGCUGAACUUUUCCCCCCUUUGGUGUUUUGCUUUGCUUUGGCCACCUGACCCUUUUCCAUUGCCCCCAUUGCCUCCACUUACCUGUUGCUGAAGCCACUGCCUCCACCAUUGGUGUCUCUGCCAUCUUGGUUGCUAUUCUCAGAGGCAGCAAGCCCAGCUUUCCUGCCAGGAGCUGGCCAUUGCCCCUGAGCAUGUGCCUGCCUAUCAGAUGGGCGGCGGGUGCAUGCCCAGAGGCCACACCUGGAUUCCUUGUGAGGAGCCUGCCGCUGCCUCUGACCAUGCAGAGGCAGUGGGAGGAGAGGUGGAGGUGGAGGUGGCAGCAGCAAGUAGAGCCCCAUCCAGACACGAACUGGGAUGAACCAGUUCAUUUUCCAGAGGUUCAUGGUGGUUAGCUAUGAGCCAUGAACCACCAGUUUUCCACUUCAUGCCUAUCUCCAGUGACAACAAAUUCGUGCCACUAAUUUCAUGUAAAUCUGGUGAAAAAAACCUCUUUGAUUAAUUUGAUCGUAAAGCCAAUUUGCUCUGCAUAUUAUACUUAAAUCAGACUUCAGAUAAAAACCAGGAGCCAUCUUAAAAAAAAAGAAAAAAACAUUUUCCAAGGGAAAAUAACAGGUUCUUUCGUUUAAUAAAAUAUAUUAGAGAAAGAAAUUUACUACA